rnacentral:rRNA from 2 species
UAAAAAUGUAAAGUUUUAAUUAAAAAAUUAAUAGUUAUGAUCUUUAAAUUUAAAAAAUUUGGCGGUAUUUUAGUCUAUUCAGAGGAACCUGUUCUGUAAUUGAUAGUCCACGAUUAGAAGUACUUAGUUUAAAAGUUUGUAUAUCGUUGUUUAAAUAAUUUUAUAAGAAUAAUAAUUAUUAGGAAAUUUAAUUUAAUAAAUAAUCAAAUCAAGGUGCAGUUUAUAAUUAAGAAGAAAUGGGUUACAAUAAAAAUUAUUUAUAUGAAUUAUAUUAUUAAAUUAAUAUAUAAAAGAGGAUUUGAUAGUAAAUAUAUAUAUAUAUAUAUAUUGAUUAUAGCUCUAUAAUAUGU